AUGGACAGGAGCUUCAUGCCCAAAAUCCAGUCGCCCCUGGCCGUGCCUACACGAGCAGCGCCGUGGGUAGAUGCUUCCCCGCCCAACGAGGAUGGCGAGGUAGGUGUUGACAAAGGCAGCCCGAGGCCAUCAGAUUUGGCACCAUCGCCGUUCUUUUGGUCGAGGCCGCUGUCGUUCAUGUGCUCCUCCUCACCCCCACGGCUAGAUGCUGGCGAGGCCAGCCUCCCCUCAUGCGCAGAUUAUCUUCGUCUCUGGUGUUUCGCUGGCCAUUGGGCUGAAGUCAACCGUACAGUUCUUCACAAAGCCCAAGAAUCGCAAGGUCAUAUACAUGGUUCGAUUGCUUUCAGGGUCGUACUUUUCCUUGUCCUUAUUGGCUGGCCUGUCUUCGGUAUGAUGGCAGAUUCGUUUGGUUUUGCCCUGCUAUUCAGGUCACCUCCAUGUCUCCCGCCAGUCCACGACAUAGCUUGCAAUCUAGGAUGUUGCCAAGUUAACUUAGGAUGGUAA
rnacentral:rRNA from 1 species